rnacentral:sRNA from 1 species
GUGUACCACGCGUACACUGCGGUCCUGGGCGCGCCGUCCACGCCCACCUGACGACUGCGCGCUACAUUUUGUUAGCC